GCCAGUGUAGUGUAGUGGUUUGAGCAUUGGACUGUGACUCUGGAGAAUUGGGUUUGAAUCCCCACUUGGCCA